AGAGGUCUCAAGCGUUGUUCGGAUUCAUUGGGCGUAAAGGGUGUGUAGGUGGCGCGCUAAGUCGGGUGUGAAAUUUCGGAGCUUAACUCCGAAACUGCAUUCGAUACUGGCGUGCUUGAGGACUGGAGAGGAGACUGGAAUUUACGGUGUAGCAGUGAAAUGCGUAGAUAUCGUAAGGAAGACCAGAGGCGAAGGCGGGUCUCUGGACAGUUCCUGACACUGAGACACGAAGGCCAGGGGAGCAAACGGGAUUAGAUACCCCGGUAGUCCUGGCAGUAAACGGUGCACGUUUGGUGUGGGAGGAUUCGACCCCUUCUGCGCCGGAGCUAACGCGUUAAACGUGCCGCCUGGGAAGUACGGUCGCAAGACUA
rnacentral:rRNA from 1 species